rnacentral:tRNA from 1 species
GUGGGUAUAGCUCAGUGGUAGGGCGUAUGCUUAGCAUGCAUGAUGUCCCGCAUUCAAUCCCCGGUACCUCCA